AUGAACGCUGGCGGCGUGCCUAAUACAUGCAAGUCGAGCGAACAGACGAGGAGCUUGCUCCUCUGAUGUUAGCGGCGGACGGGUGAGUAACACGUGGAUAACCUACCUAUAAGACUGGGAUAACUUCGGGAAACCGGAGCUAAUACCGGAUAACAUGUUGAACCGCAUGGUUCAACAGUGAAAGACGGUCUUGCUGUCACUUAUAGAUGGAUCCGCGCCGCAUUAGCUAGUUGGUAAGGUAACGGCUUACCAAGGCAACGAUGCGUAGCCGACCUGAGAGGGUGAUCGGCCACACUGGAACUGAGACACGGUCCAGACUCCUACGGGAGGCAGCAGUAGGGAAUCUUCCGCAAUGGGCGAAAGCCUGACGGAGCAACGCCGCGUGAGUGAAGAAGGUCUUCGGAUCGUAAAACUCUGUUAUUAGGGAAGAACAAAUGUGUAAGUAACUAUGCACGUCUUGACGGUACCUAAUCAGAAAGCCACGGCUAACUACGCG
rnacentral:rRNA from 1 species